CAGUGACCGCCCACCCGCACCUGCUGAACAGCAAGGUCCACGGAGUAGGAACUGCACGUGUCAGGGACUAUGUGUGGCACUGUAUGGCAAGUCUCCAAGACUGGGAAGCACCGCUUUACGUAGUCCUCAUGGAUUCCAGAGCAUGAGUUGGGCUGCUUUUGAAUAGUGGGAGACGGGAGUUUACCCCGAUCACAGAAACCAUACCAACUGAAAGACAAAUCAGCAUCUUGCUGGACGACCCCUCACAGAGCUCCUAGAUCCUUGAAGUGUGAACUUCAGCAGCUGAGAGAUUUUAUAAAUAUUGUUGAUCUUUUUGAAAAACCAACUGUUGGCUUCAUUUU
rnacentral:lncRNA from 1 species